AUUUAAGUAGUUUAUUAGAACUCUGUGCUGAAGAUACAGAAGAAGAUUGUUUAUCUCUUAAAUA
rnacentral:tRNA from 1 species